rnacentral:rRNA from 1 species
UACAGAGGUCUCAAGCGUUGUUCGGAUUCAUUGGGCGUAAAGGGUGCGUAGGCGGCGCGGUAAGUCGGGUGUGAAAAUCUCGGAGCUUAACUCCGAAACUGCAUUCGAUACUGCCGUGCUUGAGGACUGGAGAGGAGACUGGAAUUUACGGUGUAGCGGUGAAAUGCGUAGAUAUCGUAAGGAAGACCAGUGGCGAAGGCGGGUCUCUGGACAGUUCCUGACGCUGAGGCACGAAGGCCAGGGGGAGCAAAACGGG